rnacentral:rRNA from 1 species
CCUUCGGGAGGCAGCAGUGGGGAAUAUUGGGCAAUGGGCGAAAGCCUGACCCAGCAACGCCGCGUGAAGGAAGAAGGCUUUCGGGUUGUAAACUUCUUUUCACAGGGACGAAGCAAGUGACGGUACCGGAGGAAUAAGCCACGGCUAACUACGUGCCAGCAGCCGCGGUAAUACGGAGGUGGCAAGCGUUAUCCGGAUUUACUGGGUGUAAAGGGCGUGUAGGCGGGAAAGCAAGUCAGUUGUGAAAGCCACGGGCUCAACCUGUGUCUUGCAUUUGAAACAGGUUUUCUUGAGUACUGGGGAGGCAGACGGAAUUCGGAGUGUAGCGGUGAAAUGCGUAGAUAUUAGGAGGAACACCAGUGGCGAAGGCGGUCUGCUGGACAGCAACUGACGCUGAGGCGCGAAAGCGUGGGGAGCAAACAGGAUUAGAUACCCGAGUAGUC